CUGGAAGAUGUCAUGUGGCUGGGGAUGGUGAGCAGAUGGGAGAGGGAGACAGAGGACAGAUGGUCUUGCAGGAUGAUGUGGGACCUCAGCCUGGGUGCCGUGUAAGCCACGCACAGAAGUUGAGCAAGCAGGCUCAGAGAUGUAAGCUCGUGACCCUCUCGUCAGACAUCAAAGUCAGAUCAUAGGGGACCAGUACACUCUGCAGGCAAACAUUACGUUUUUAACAGAGCAGCUGACUGCAUGGAGUUCAACCUUCAGAUGCAAUGCUUGUGAAAAAUUGCAAAAAACACACUCUGUCUCCGGCCGCUAGCAUAUUGGUGAAAUCGGAUAUCGCGGGCUAAACGGAAAGGAAGACAAAACAGGCUUGGCGCUCAACGUGUUAAAAAAGGUAGGGGACCCUGGAAUAAGC